GAAUUGGCACCUCCAGAGUGGGAAUGUUGAGGUGUUCCACAGUGUCGACAAGUGCUGUGGGUUAAGUCUCUGGACUCCUCCACAUCCACACAAGGCCUGAGCUGUGCUGGUUUUCUCUGCAGCAUCAACUUCAAUCAGGAUGCGUCCCUCAUCUGCGUAUCCAGCGACCACGGCACAGUGCAUAUUUUUGCAGCUGAAGAUCCAAAAAGGAAUAAACAGUCCAGUUUGGCCUCAGCCAGUUUCCUUCCAAAA
rnacentral:ncRNA from 2 species